GACGUAGGGGGCGAGCGUUGUCCGGAGUUACUGGGCGUAAAGAGCACGCAGGCGGUUUUGCGCGUGUGGGGUGACAGCGGGUGGCUCAACUACCCGAGCAUGCCACAGACGGCAGGACUGGAGGGCCAGAGAGGGACACGGAAUUCCGGGUGGAGUGGUGAAAUGCGUAGAGAUCCGGAGGAACACCGAGGGCGUAGGCAGUGUCCUGGCUGGUGACUGACGCUGAGGUGCGAAAGCCAGGGGAG
rnacentral:rRNA from 1 species